UACGUAGGGUGCAAGCGUUAAUCGGAAUUACUGGGCGUAAAGCGUGCGCAGGCGGUUUUGUAAGACAGAGGUGAAAUCCCCGGGCUCAACCUGGGAACUGCAUUUGUGACUGCAUCGCUGGAGUGCGGCAGAGGGGGAUGGAAUUCCGCGUGUAGCAGUGAAAUGCGUAGAUAUGCGGAGGAACACCGAUGGCGAAGGCAAUCCCCUGGGCCUGCACUGACGCUCAUGCACGAAAGCGUGGGGAGCAAACAGG
rnacentral:rRNA from 1 species